rnacentral:misc_RNA from 1 species
GAUGAAGGACGUAGUGAAAUGCGAUAAGUAAUGUGAAUUGCAGAAUUCAGUGAAUCAUCGAAUCUUUGAACGCACAUUGCGCCCUUUGGCAUUCCGAAGGGCACACCUGUCCGAGCGCCGUCGCACAACUGAGGCGCAGCCUUGCGUUGGCGGGCGACUUGUGAGUAGCGAGUCGCCGCCCAAACGAGACGGCGCCGCGCCGCGGCCGACGAAGCACGAAAGCGGAAGUCGACGCGGAGGCGGUUGCCUGUAGGAAGACACAGCUUGGCCUCGGAUCAGGUGGGGAUACCCGCUGAACUUAAGCAUAUCAAUAAGCGGAGGA